UACGGAGGUGGCAAGCGUUGCUCGGAAUCACUGGGCGUAAAGGGCGCGUAGGCGGGGAGGUAAGUCGGGUGUGAAAUCCCUCGGCCCAACUGAGGAACUGCGCCCGAGACUGCUUCUCUUGAGUCCCGGAGAGGAAGAUGGAAUUCCCGGUGUAACGGUGAAAUGUGUAGAGAUCGGGAGGAACACCGGUGGCGAAGGCGGUCUUCUGGACGGUGACUGACGCUGAGGCGCGAAAGCGUGGGGAGCAAAACGGGAUUGAGAUACCCGGAGU
rnacentral:rRNA from 1 species